rnacentral:rRNA from 1 species
GAUGAACGCUGGCGGCGUGCUUAACACAUGCAAGUCGAACGGAAAGGCCCCUGCUUGCACGGGUACUCUAGUGGCGAACGGGUGAGUAACACGUGGGUGAUCUGCCCUGCACUUCGGGAUAAGCCUGGGAGACUGGGGCUAAUACCGGAUAUGACCACAUUUUGGAUGGUGGGGUGGAAAGUUUUUCGGUGUGGGAUGGGCUCGCGGCCUAUCAGCUUGUUGGUGGGGUAAUGGCCUACCAAGGCGUCGACGGGUAGCCGGCCUGAGAGGGGGUACGGCCACACUGGGACUGAGAUACGGCCCAGACUCCUACGGGAGGCAGCAGUGGGGAAUAUUGCACAAUGGGCGAAAGCCUGAUGCAGCGACGCCGCGUGGGGGAUGACGGCCUUCGGGUUGUAAACUCCUUUCGCUAGGGAAGAAGCGAAAGUGACGGUACCUGGAGAAGAAGCGCCGGCUAACUACGUG